CCAUGUCCAUAUUUCUGACAGUUAAAACAUCACAGUGGGUUGGGCACAAAUAAUUCCACUGUGACAUUCAAAUAUCUGAAUUGAAUUCUUUCUGGGGGAAGGGGCUUAUUAAAAGUGAUUAUGGAUGUACAGCACCAUGGAAUUCCAGCAGAUUAUGCAUCAGGGUUAUUAGAAUGAUAUACUUGAGCAGGUAAAGCAGAUUAUAACCCACUCUAUCCAUUCGAUUGACCCUUAGCCAACGUUUACAGGGAAUUCUUGAAAUUUAGCAAUUGUUAAGCUAUCACAGAACUCUAAGAGCAUGUCUUGGCCAGCCGACUGAGUGGAGUGAGCCAUUCCAACCUCCCAUCUAGGUGAAGUAUGAGCCAAAGUACAGUGUUGAAACAGUGGCAGCUGCAACAAACCAUAUUUCUCUUCCUCCACCAACACAUGUCACAACUUAUGGCAAACAAGUCACCCCUUUUAUCGCUCUUUGAGAAUAGUAUUGGGAUACGGAGGAUCUAUUUUCCUCUGGAUCCUUACAGAGAGAUGAAGGAUGGUAUAAGCACAUCUAAGUGGAAAAAGUGUGUACAAAAGGUAUAAUCAAGAAAAUUGUGAUCCUAGUAGGGGGGGCUCAAGGGUUAUUCUCUCUUGCCCGAGGAGAAGACCCUAGCAUUACAGAGGGAAGGAGCAAGGAGCACAUCACUGUUCCUUUCAUGAGCUGGUACCAAGAAGAUGGGUCUCGUGCUAUAAGACGAUUGUCAUGAGAGAGAGAGAGAGAGAGAGAGCGCGCGAGAGACAGAGAAAGCUCAUUCACCCUUCACCCCCAAGGCCAGCAGCAGGCAGGCUUAGCUACAUGAGGUUUAAUAGGGGAUCCUCUGGACUGCUGCUGAGCAAAGUGCGUCACACCACACCACGUAAGUGAUGCGUCACACCACUGCUGGGCUUUCCCAUCCAUCUUGGCCAGCUUUAAAGGUCAUUUCACCUUCAUGUACCGUUCACAUGGCUAAUAGAUCAUUGUAAGUCUUCUAUCAUGUACUGUAGUGACUUGUACUUGUAUUGACU
ensembl:lncRNA